rnacentral:rRNA from 1 species
GGGGAAUAUUGGGCAAUGGGCGCAAGCCUGACCCAGCAACGCCGCGUGAGGGAAGAAGGCUUUCGGGUUGUAAACCUCUGUCCUUGGUGACGAAACAAAUGACGGUAGCCAAGGAGGAAGCCCCGGCUAACUACGUGCCAGCAGCCGCGGUAAUACGUAGGGGGCGAGCGUUGUCCGGAAUUACUGGGCGUAAAGGGUGCGUAGGUGGCCUUUUAAGUUGGAUGUGAAAUACCCGGGCUUAACUUGGGGGGUGCAUCUAAUACUGGAAGGCUAGAGUGCAGGAGAGGAAAGCGGAAUUCCUAGUGUAGCGGUGAAAUGCGUAGAUAUUAGGAGGAACACCAGUGGCGAAGGCGGCUUUCUGGACUGUAACUGACACUGAGGCACGAAAGCGUGGGGAGCAAAC